rnacentral:rRNA from 1 species
GUGACCUUACGGGGGGCAGCAGUGGGGAAUAUUGCACAAUGGGGGAAACCCUGAUGCAGCGAUGCCGCGUGGAGGAAGAAGGUUUUCGGAUUGUAAACUCCUUUUAUCAGGGACGAUAAUGACGGUACCUGAAGAAAAAGCUCCGGCUAACUACGUGCCAGCAGCCGCGGUAAUACGUAGGGGGCAAGCGUUAUCCGGAUUUACUGGGUGUAAAGGGAGCGUAGGUGGCAGGGCAAGUCAGAUGUGAAAACCCGGGGCUCAACUCCGGGAGUGCAUUUGAAACUGUCCAGCUAG